rnacentral:rRNA from 1 species
GGACGGGGGAGUAAUGUCUGGGAAACUGCCUGAUGGAGGGGGGUAACUACUGGAAACGGUAGCUAAUACCGCAUAACGUCGCAAGACCAAAGAGGGGGACCGUUAGGGCCUCUUGCCAUCGGAUGUGCCCAGAUGGGAUUAGCUAGUAGGUGGGGUAACGGCUCACCUAGGCGACGAUCCCUAGCUGGUCUGAGAGGAUGACCAGCCACACUGGAACUGAGACACGGUCCAG